rnacentral:rRNA from 1 species
GGCUUAACACAUGCAAGUCGAGGGGUAGAGUUCUUCGGAAUUUGAGACCGGCGCACGGGUGCGUAACGCGUAUGCAAUCUGCCUUCCACAGAGGGAUAGCCCAGAGAAAUUUGGAUUAAUACCUCAUAGCAUUACAGGAUGGCAUCAUCCGGUAAUUAAGGUCACAACGGUGGAAGAUGAGCAUGCGUCCCAUUAGCUAGUUGGUAAGGUAACGGCUUACCAAGGCGACGAUGGGUAGGGGUCCUGAGAGGGAGAUCCCCCACACUGGUACUGAGACACGGACCAGACUCCUACGGGAGGCAGCAGUGAGGAAUAUUGGUCAAUGGGCGCAAGCCUGAACCAGCCAUGCCGCGUGCAGGAUGACGGUCCUAUGGAUUGUAAACUGCUUUUGUACGGGAAGAAACACUGAUUCGUGAAUCAGCCUGACGGUACCGUAAGAAUAAGGAUCGGCUAACUCCGUGCCAGCAGCCGCGGUAAUACGGAGGAUCCAAGCGUUAUCCGGAAUCAUUGGGUUUAAAGGGUCUGUAGGCGGUCUUGUAAGUCAGUGGUGAAAGCCCAUCGCUCAACGGUGGAACGGCCAUUGAUACUGCAGGACUUGAAUUACCGGGAAGUAACUAGAAUAUGUAGUGUAGCGGUGAAAUGCUUAGAUAUUACAUGGAAUACCAAUUGCGAAGGCAGGUUACUACCGGUGGAUUGACGCUGAUGGACGAAAGCGUGGGGAGCGAACAGG